CACGUAGGGGGCGAGCGUUGUCCGGAAUCAUUGGGCGUAAAGAGCUCGUAGGCGGCUCGGUAAGUCGGGUGUGAAACCCCCAGGCUCAACCUGGGGACGCCACCCGAUACUGCUGUGGCUAGAGUCCAGUAGGGGAGUGUGGAAUUCCCGGUGUAGCGGUGAAAUGCGCAGAUAUCGGGAGGAACACCAGCGGCGAAGGCGGCACUCUGGGCUGGAACUGACGCUGAGGUGCGAAAGCGUGGGGAGCAAACAGGG
rnacentral:rRNA from 1 species